CAUCAUAUCCUAUUUCUAUGCAGAGUCGUCAUCACUCUGAUAUGUUUCCUGUUAAUUUCCUUCCAUCUUCUAACAAUUGAAACUUCUCUUCCAGAGAUCCCCAAACACCAAAAAGAAAAGGUCUCUUAAAGCCCUCAUCACAUCCUGUCUUCAGUUCUACGCCCUGGUUGCCUGUGUCUGUACCCCGUUUCAUCUUCACUUCUGGGAACCAGGCUGAUGGAGAAGUCUUCUAGCAGAAGUACUAUGGGUCAUGAUGGCAGAAAGAAGAGCAAACUUGGUGGACCAUGUGCUGGCCCUUGAUGGGUCUACUCAGAUGGGUCACGUAUCUCUGCUCACAAGGUAGCUACCCUUGCAUUUCAUCAGGGCUCUGCUUGCAAGAAUCGCAAGGCAGAUCAAGCCUAGCGGCCUAAGAGAUCUACUUCCCCUGGGAAUGAAUCCUGCAUAAAGACCCAUGUAUGGAAAGCAAGAUUGAAUAACUGAGGCUUGAUAGAGUUACAUCACUUGUCCAAAGAGAUAAUGCCAGUGAAUGGAAUAGCCAGAUCGAAUUCCAGAAUCCGUAAAGCUCCACUGCUUCUCUCUGAAUGUAAUAACCCAUCCACAAGCCCUAAGAUAUUAGACACAUCAGUGAUCACUCCAUCUGCUUUUGGCCCAUUGCUGUUGUCAGGAUUUAUGCAUUUAUGUCUGCAAUAAUUAUUUAUUGAGGACCUUCUCUCUUGCAAUUGCAUAUGGCCUUAUAACUGAAUUCUGACUUUAUGUCUCUCUUAGGAUAGACAGAUAAAAAUUUUUCAUAUGUGAUCUUCUUUCUGUCCCCUACCUCUCAGCUAUGAGCCUGAAACAGCAGAUUCAGUAGAACAGAGUUUCUCAGGAAUGGCAGAGCCACAAGUUGGGAGGAGCCCAGCUCUGUCCAACAACCUGGAACAUCCAUCAACCAGGAAAACUGUUGCACUUUAUGUGAUUAAGAAACAUUUUUUAAGGAAAAAAGCAGUAAAUUUUUGGGUUAUAUUUGUUGCAAUAGCUGUGUUACUUUCCUAAUGCACAAUCACAAAUGUAAAAUGCCACACACAGAGUGUGAGGAAAUAUAUUGCUAUUGGACUACUUGUAGUCUAUUUAAUUUUUUUAUAUAGCUAUAGCCAGAUCUGGGGUGAAAUGGUUUAGAAUAAUAAUUUCCAAUAGUAUACAUCAUACCUUUAAAAAGACUUUUAUGGAUGGAUAAAUAUCUAAUUAUGGAACUGCCCUGCAACGUAAGUGGUGAGAGAAACUCUUUAUAUAUGCUUUGUUUUUUUCUGAAUGCAUAGGUUCAGAAUUAUUAAACAAAUCCUCAUCUUUUGACAGCCAGUAAUCAAUUUCUCAUUUGCAGGGAAUCUAAUUGCAUUAGAGGGGACACUGGGGAAGUUAUGGACUACCUCAUCUUUCUACUAUAAAAAAUGAAACUACUUGUCUGUAUUGAAUUUGAUUUUAUAUGUUCAAUGAAAUAUAUCAUAUCCUUAUAAUAAAGUUAUAUAAGUUGC
rnacentral:lncRNA from 1 species